CGAGACUAAUUAACUGAUUUUCUCUUUCUCUAUAUAUAUGGUGGUUCACUUCCUUCCCAUUACUGUUAAGGAUGUUGCUGAAUUAUGGACCCAAACGAUGGCAAAGGAAUUCUCUUCUUAUUGCUUUGUGGUGCUACUGAAGUGUGAGGGAUUAUGACCUAAACCAUGGAUACUCCUCUUCUUGCUUUGUGCUACUGAAGUGGAACUGGACAAGGCCACAAAAUUCAACGCGGUGCUUUUUAACGGGGUUGUUUGUUUCUUUUUGGUUUAACAGGUGUGUGCGUGUUCCAACUUUCAUCUGAGUAGUUUGCUUUACU